CGCCUCUUGAGUAAAAAUAAGAGGUCCAGCCUGCCCAGUGACUAAUAUUCAACGGCCGCGGUAUCCUAACCGUGCGAAGGUAGCGUAAUCACUUGUUCUUUAAAUGAGGACUAGUAUGAACGGCAUCACGAGGGUUAUACUGUCUCCUUUUUCCAAUCAGUGAAUCUAAUCUCCCCGUGAAGAAACAGGGAUAUAACUAUAAGACGAGAAGACCCUAUGGAGCUUUAAAUACCUCUUCAAACGUUGGAAACCCAUCAAGUUUAAAACUUACUCACAUUAACCCUGAACGCUAUGAAGACAACUUUUAGGUUGGGGUGACCGCGGAGAACAACACAACCUCCACGCUGAACUAGACUAUUAAGCCUGAGCCAAGAGCUACUGCUCAACGCACUAAAAAAUUAACAUCUAUUGACCCAAUACAUAAUUUGAUCAACGAACCAAGUUACCCUAGGGAUAACAGCGCAAUCCAUUUUAAGAGUCCAUAUCGACAAGUGGGUUUACGACCUCGAUGUUGGAUCAGGGUAUCCCAGUGGUGCAGCCGCUACUAAUGGUUCGUUUGUUCAACGAUUAAAACCC
rnacentral:rRNA from 1 species